GCUUGGAGGAGCCCUGCAAACAGCUUGCCUUCAGAUUGGUCAUUGGCUUCACAUAAAUUUUCACUAGAGAAGCGAAAGGAUGGAGCCCUUUGGGACUCUGAAGACAAGUCCCUCAAGUUCCUGGAGGUGGAAAGAAGAAGGGCAGAGGAGAUGGUACCCAUAGCAACCAUUUACAAUCUCUCCAAGGAGAAAGGCCAAUCAGAGCUCCAAGCAAGGAUUAAGCCAAUCUUGUCAUUGUCAAGAAAGAAGAUGAGAAACCAGAGAAGACAUAAAUAUAUGAUUCAUUGGUGACCAUCUGACCUAAUAAUGCUAUUAUAUAUGAAACAGGAAGGGUAGUAGAGAUUUAAAAUUAAUGGCGGUAAGAAGGGAACAUAU
rnacentral:lncRNA from 1 species